GCUUGACCUCCGUGUUAUGGCUCAGAACCACAUGGACAUACUGAUGCCUAAACUCCAUGAUAUCUGCCUUGCCAUUAUAAAUGAGGUGAAGAACCUGCGCUCUGCAGUGUCCUGUGCUGCCAUGGCCACACUGGGUGACAUGUACGUCCACCUCCAGAGGGCCAUGGACAGUGAGGUGGAGGGGACGGCACGCGUGCUGCUGCACAAAGCGAGGCCAACGCCUUCAUCCGGCAGGGCGCCAACUUUGCCCUGGGUCACAUGGUGCAGAGCUGCACCCCUACCCGUGUCAUGAAUGCCCUGCUGGUCAGUGGGCUGAGUCACCGUAGCGCUGCGGUGAGGAGCUGCACUGCUCAGGACCUGGAGAGACUGGCUGAGGUCAUGGGGACGGCUCGUCUCCUGUCGGGGAAGAAAGGCCUCAGUGACCGUUUCUUGAUUGCCGUCAGUAAAUUGGCUGUGGACCCUGCACAGGAAGUCAGGUGGGAAGUUCCUCCUGUAAAGUAGCUUGCUUCAACAUAACAGUUAAGGCCGGGAUUCAAUCCAUGGCUCGCUAUAGCACUAGAUCGCCGACAAUGCAGCUUUUAAAGGUAAUUUAGUCUAGAGUCAACAUCUGCAGUGUUUUACACAAAUACAAAUUGAAAUUGACUUUAAAAGCCACAUUGUCGGCUGUCUACAGCAUCUAUGCUAAAGGGUGUCAUGGAUUGAAUUGCAGAUUUUAGGUAUUCCAAAACAACCACAGGUUCUCUUGGAGGGGAAUAGUAAUUGAAAACAAAAAGGAAAAAUUAUGAACACAAAUAAGUUCUACGUGGCAUAGGAAAAUCCAAGUCCAGGCACUCAUGUGGGUUUGAAAGUUAAAAAGACAAAAGCUUAGCCGGGAUGUUUGGCCGGCAGGGAUGUUCUUCUCCCAUCGCCAACUAGUGACCUCCUGUGGUGGGCGGGGUGCAAUGCACGGACACGGUCGCCAGGUGUAUGGUGUUUCCUCCGACACAUUGGUGCUUCCAGGUUAAGCGGGCAUUGUGUCAAGAAGCAGUGCGGCUUGGCUGGGUUGUGUUUCGGAGGAUGCACGGCUCUCGACCUUCGCCUCUCCAGAGUCCUUGUGGGAGUUGCAGCGAUGGGAAAAGAUUGUCACUAUCAAUUGAAUACCACGAAAUUGGGGUAAAAAUUACAAAUGUAAAUGAGUCCAGUUCAGUUUCCUUCCUUCUGUUUGGUGUCUAAUGAAGACAACCCUACUUGAUCACAGUGGUCGGCCUGAGCCAAGCGCUGUGCAGAUUCGCUAAGAUUUUCAUAAUAACGAACGGUUAAUACCCAGUUGUUAUAUUGGUGAGAUGAUUCGUAGAUCAGGUAAUGCGGUGCAUUACUCAAACGACCCUCUUGCAAAUUCUACCUAAUGUAUGUCUUAUUUUUUUCUCAGGUUGCCAUCAAUUGAGUACUGUUUUUAAUCACAGACAGCAGAAAUUAUUUGAUAUGUUACACGUUUAAGAUGAUAUUAAUAUCUUUGUCCACAGGCAUCAUGGUCGCAAUAUCUUGAGAAACGUGGCCAUCAAUGGCGACUUUGCUAAAAUGUGGGACAAAUUCGCUCUGAGGAAAGAAAGAGAAUCUUUGAGGGAGGUCAUCUCAAAGGUUAACCUCAAAGAAAAGUAGAUUCUCUCUAGAUUAUUAGAAGUGUGACAAAUGAGCUGAUAUGAUUACAGAAAUCCAAUCCCACUGGGCACAGAUCAGUUCCAUGUCUUGUUUUGAUAUAAAAUUUGGGAACUCAACCAAAAUGUGAAAUCAACCAAAAAUGUUGGUUAAAAGGUGGGUGAAAAAAAUCCAAUUGUGUUUUCUUCGGUGAUUCACCAUCAUCACAUAGAUUUUUUGUUGUUGAAAUGAGGUGGAAACAACGUUUAUUCAACCAGUUUUUGCCCAAUGGGAUGAAUUUAAUAUACUGUUAAGAUUAUAUCUUUCUGUCUUUUCUCUUUUUCAACAGGAAUAUCUGAAUAUUUCCCAACUUGACUAUUAUCCCCUCCAGUCCCCAAACUCCAAUAUUUUAGUUCAUUCUAAGACAUUUGACACUAUCAUCCAAACCCCCAUGUAAAUGUAUCUUUAAACUGCAUUGACUCCUUGUCCAAGUCCUGAAUCCACUAUAAGGCCAUAUGAACCACAUUCAAAGCACGAAAUGACCUUUCCUCAAAGCUCCUAUCUGAUCUGCCAGCUCAAUAGUGGUCUACUGAAACCAUACUCACCAUCUCAGGGGGUUCUCAGAUCAUCAACCACUGACCUCCACACCAUCCUCAAAACCAGCAGUCCUCUUUUGGAGGCAGAUUGGUCAGUGGAUUUUCAUCAAUACUUCUCCAAUACUUCUGGACUAUGAGAACAUUCUUUGGACAAUAAAAUUAGGUAAAAUGGAAGCUGGCUACAGUCUCAGUUUUAUCCUCCAAGACAGAGUGAGGAUGUGAUCAGGGCCAGAUUACUGAAUGGGCAAGCAGGGCACCUGCCCUGUGGGUCCCGACCUCCAGGGUAUAUCAUCAUAAGAUCCAAAACUAAAAGUAUAGUGGAUGUAUAUUAUAGUAUGUGGACGUUUUACAAUUCGUGAGCUCGUUUCAUUAUUUGUAGCCAUGUUUUAUGUACAUUUGUGCUCAUUUUGUGGAAAUUUGUGAGCAUUUAAAAAAAUGUCGUGGGGUUGUUUUAUAUCAAUUUGCUUACUGGUGCUCUUCCAUGCCGUCCCUAGGAGGGGUGCAUCACUUGAGUGGGUUGAGUCACUGAUGUGAUCUUCCUGUCUGGGUUGGCGCCCCCCCUUGGGUUGUGCCGUGGCGGAGUUCUUUGUGGGCUACACUCGGCCUUGUCUCAGGAUGGUAAGUUGGUGGUUGAAGAUAUCCCUUUAGUGGUGUGGGGACUGUCCUUUGGCAAAGUGGGUAGGGUUAUAUCCUGCUUCUAUGGCCCUGUCCGGGGGUAUCGUCGGAUUGGGCCACAGUGUCUCCCGACCUCUACUGACUCAGCUUCCAGUAUUUAUGCUGCAGUAGUUUAUAUUUCGGGGGCUAGGUUUAAGUCUGUUAUAUCAGGAGUAUUUCUCCUGUCUUAUCGGUGUCCUGUGUGAAUUUAAGUAUGCUCUCUCUAAUUCUCUCUUUCUCUUGUUCUUUCUUUCUCUCUGAGGACCAUGCCUCAGGACUACCUGGCCUGAUGACUCCUUGCUAUCCCCAGUCCACCUGGCUGUGCUGCUGCUCCAGUUUCAACUGUUCUCCCUGUGGCUAUGGAACACUGACCUGUUCACCGGACGUGCUCCCUGUCCCAGACCGGUUGUUUUCAACUCUCUCGAGACAGCAGGAGCGGUAGAGAUACUCAAUGAUCGGCUAUGAAAAGCCAACUGAACACACAUAGGGUCGGUUUGGUGGUUUCUUCAAGUUCAAUGGUUUGAGCCAAAGCCGAAGAGACUCUUCAUCCAUAGGAGGUGGGUGCAAAUCAAAAGGUGCACAGCUGCACAACUGCACUCCAAUCUCAAAAUAGUUUAGUGGUCAAAACCUUCCUGCUCCAUGAACAGCUUCCGUUUCUGCCAGUUAUUGUGGCAUCCCAUUACCGAACAUUAAAUGCCUGUUUUGCAUGAAUCCAUGUUUGGGAAGUGCUUAAGUAGUACCCCACAAAAAAAUAUAUAAAACAGACCUCGCCCAUAUUUCCAUUGAAACCUGGACAGAACCAAACCAAUCAGUUAAGUAUUGUCAUGACCAGACUAGAUCAUAAAGGAACAAUUGUCCAGACAGAGGAUUGAGUUAAUGAAUUGACCGUUUAUUAACCCAACUUUACACAGGCUACUGUUUGGCCAUAGCCAACGCCAAAUAAAUUAUAGAUACCCUACAAACCUUCUCUUGUGAAGCCCAGACGUAAGAGGAAGAACAAUGGCUAAACCUUAACUUCCAAUGCUCCAUCCCCCUGCCCAAUCCCCCUGCACGCCACUCCGCCAACCACCAGGGUCCCGGCAUCAGAACAUUCCAGGCAUUACCGUGAUUGGCAGAUAGCAGGUUGAUUGGCCUGUCGGACCCCGCGAACACUAGGUACUGGUAAGUACAACACAACCAACUAAUAGCCUAACACAUAACACACAGCUGUCUGUGCGUGUUGCUACUGUAUAUAGUGGGUGAAGGCAUUCACAGCCGACCGCUCAGACGGGUGAGGGCAUUCCAGCCAACCAUUUUUUACUUGGUCCUUCUAGCCGGAUUUAGUGACCAACAGUUUUUUACAUGGUCCGUCAUUUCUCCAGAUUUAGCCAACAAUAGAUUUUUACAGAUAACCAAGAUACAUGUAAUACCCUUGUUUGAAGUAGAUCAGGACAUUCUCUAUGGAAGACAUGAACGGUAAAAUAACGAAGGAACCUCUUUCAAGUUCAGCCGCAAGUUAUUGCAGGAAUUAUAACGUUGACUAUUUCUCUCUAAACCAUAUACCUUUGACUAUUACGAGCCUGCUGCUGCCUACCACUGUUAUAUAAAUAAUCUAAUAUCAAGCAUUACUAGCAGACCAACGCUCUGGUUAAACCGGAUGUCCUCAGAUGACUGAGGACACUGGGCCCAGAGUUAAGUCUAGAGCCUGUGUGCAAUAACAUAAUUAUCCUCGCACAAAACAGUUCAAGGGAAGGACACAUGGCUGCCAUCACUCAAAAUAUACUCCCCUGCUAACUACAAAGGACAGCCUGCAACACUAACGAGCUUAGAGUGCCAAACUAUCUCACUGACAUUGAACCCUACAUGCACACCUGCAUAAACAGGAAACACCUGUGCCUAAAGCAGACACUGCUAGUUUCCCCUAUCUUACGUUUCCUUGACACACAAACAUCUCAUGAGCAACGCACACUCACACUCCACCCCCCCCUCCCGGUCGGGUGACGUGAGCAGAGGACUCUGCUGUGCACCAAUGGGGCUCCUGCUAGAGCAGGCCUGCCUCCAACUCUUCAGGACCAGUCAGAAGACCAACACGACGAGACUCCACCUACAUUAUUCUGUGUAUACAUUCUGUUGUAAACUCUGGCGAGGCAGCCUAAUUAUUCUGACUCCUCACAGAGUCACAUUGCUUAGGUCCGUGCACGAUAUCUUUGACUCAAUAAACUGCCUU